ACGCUGGCGGCAGGCCUAACACAUGCAAGUCGAGCGGUAGAGAGAAGCUUGCUUCUCUUGAGAGCGGCGGACGGGUGAGUAAUGCCUAGGAAUCUGCCUGGUAGUGGGGGAUAACGUUCGGAAACGGACGCUAAUACCGCAUACGUCCUACGGGAGAAAGCAGGGGACCUUCGGGCCUUGCGCUAUCAGAUGAGCCUAGGUCGGAUUAGCUAGUUGGUGGGGUAAUGGCUCACCAAGGCGACGAUCCGUAACUGGUCUGAGAGGAUGAUCAGUCACACUGGAACUGAGACACGGUCCAGACUCCUACGGGAGGCAGCAGUGGGGAAUAUUGGACAAUGGGCGAAAGCCUGAUCCAGCCAUGCCGCGUGUGUGAAGAAGGUCUUCGGAUUGUAAAGCACUUUAAGUUGGGAGGAAGGGCAGUAAAUUAAUACUUUGCUGUUUUGACGUUACCGACAGAAUAAGCACCGGCUAACUCUGUGCCAGCAGCCGCGGUAAUACAGAGGGUGCAAGCGUUAGUCGGAAUUACUGGGCGUAAAGCGCGCGUAGGUGGUUCGUUAAGUUGGAUGUGAAAUCCCCGGGCUCGACCUGGGAACUGCAUUCAAAACUGACGAGCUAGAGUAUGGUAGAGGGUGGUGGAAUUUCCUGUGUAGCGGUGAAAUGCGUAGAUAUAGGAAGGAACACCAGUGGCGAAGGCGACCACCAGGACUGAUACUGACACUGAGGUGCGAAAGCGUGGGGAGCAAAC
rnacentral:rRNA from 1 species